rfam:Gossypium raimondii Chr04_contig_1275, whole genome shotgun sequence.
UGUUAAAAAUUUCAUUCAUUUCUAUUGUUAAAAACUUGUAUGACUGAUAAAUAACGAAAUGAGUAUAUGCCAUGUGUACCUCAUUCUGAUGUGCAGGGGCCAAUUUUUAACAAUAGAAAUAGAUAAUA